rnacentral:lncRNA from 7 species
ACAUUAGAAAAUCUUUGUCUUUGGAAUUAGAACUGUCAGCUGUUACACUUUGGCAGUUGUUUCCUGGAAGCUUACUUUGGUUAGCAGCAAGUAGACAGUACCUGUGACAAACUGCCAGUUUACUCCAGAUUCUGGGAAGAGAAUCUUUUUGCAUAAUUCAAUUUGCAGAUGUUCUCUCUGAGUAAAUAAUUUCUGUCUUUCUAUUUAUUUGUAUCAGUAUCUUCUCCUUUUAUCUUAUGUGAGAGGAUUCAGUGACAGAGACAUUGCUGUGCUUGUUUAGAGUUAGCAAUAUGCUCAGCUUUGUAGAGUACUCAACAGCAGUCACUGUCCUGGCUCAAUCCAGCAUUCACUGAAAAACAAAGGAAGAAUCCCAUUAUAACUAUAACCUUGUGUACUUGCUCCCUGGUGACACCAGUAAAGCAUAUGCAGGCACCCUGGCUGUGACACCUCUCUUCUCUGUAUCUGCAGGGAACAGGAUUGCCAGCAGCAAGGUGAAGAUGAGUGUGAUCUGCUAGUUGAAUGCUGAGCAUAUGGAAGGCCAUUGUGUGCUAGGAACAAAAGGACAGCUAAGAAGAAUGAGGAAAAAGCAAACUUCAGCAGGAAAGCUUUGGUGUCCUUUGGGCAUUGCUUCUUUAUUUUGGUUGUGGAUAAUUUUGUCUUCCUCUGUAGUUACUCCUUUCUAAGUACAACAUCAGUCAACAAUGAGCUGUGGUGCUUCAGAUUCUUUCUAUGGAUUAAUCUACAGGUUUAACUUUUGGACUGCCACGAGGACCAUCUGUUUAGCGUGGUCUGCAGACAGAAUGAAAAUAUGAAUGUUAUAAUUGUAUGUAAUUGAGUAAAUAGAGAAGGCAGAGAAUGUACUUGAAUUUCUAUGUUUGUAUUGACAGACAUUUUGUAUAUAUGGAUUUUUGUAUAUAUUACACCCACUUGACAAGGACCCUAACUGUUGCAUAAGCCAGAGCUUCUUUGCCUUGAUGCGUAACUGGACUACUUAGCUAGCUCUUGCACUUUUUUCUACUCUUCAGCUUCCAUCUUCUCCAUUACGCAUAGGGAUGGCCUUCACUAUAACUUUACUGACUUACUCUUUUCAAACGUUCAUUUGUUUUUCUUCAGUUUAUU